rnacentral:rRNA from 1 species
GACGAACGCUGGCGGCGUGCUUAACACAUGCAAGUCGAACGGAAAGGCCCUGCUUUUGUGGGUUGCUCGAUUGGCGAACGGGUGAGUAACACGUGAGUAACCUGCCCUUGACUUUGUGAUAACUUCAGGAAACUGGGGCUAAUACCGGAUAGGAGCUCCUGCUGCAUGUUGGGGGUUGGAAAGUUUCGGCGGUUGGGGAUGGACUCGCGGCUUAUCAGCUUGUUGGUGGGGUAGUGGCUUACCAAGGCUUUGACGGGUAGCCGGCCUGAGAGGGUGACCGGCCACAUUGGGACUGAGAGACGGCCCAGACGCCUACGGGAGGCAGCAGUGGGGAAUAUUGCACAAUGGGCGGAAGCCUGAUGCAGCAACGCCGCGUGCGGGAUGACGGCCUUCGGGUUGUAAACCGCUUUCGCCUGUGACGAAGCGUGAGUGACGGUAAUGGGUAAAGAAGCACCGGCUAACUACGUG